rnacentral:misc_RNA from 1 species
UCUAGAGCUAUCGAGAGACCACGCGACUGACUAACCUCAACGUGCAAGAAGACGAAGAGCAAAGCAGAUGAAAGCAGAGUAGAGUGCGCCAGCGGUAUCAGUGAGUCGCGGUUUCGUAUUUCGUAAUGUUCGUAAAUAUUUCCGCGAAACGAGGAAGACUCGAUCACACGAAUCCCACACAAACGGAACCUUGACUUUAGCACGCGUGUGAUAAGACUGGCGCCGGUUAUGUGCGCUUCCCCAAGAAAGCGAUAAAAUCGCUGCUGCCGCCGCCGUCGAUCGCUAUCACUUACCCGGCAACGAGAAAUACAGAGAUAGACAGAAAAUAGGGUAGAGAGAAGAUAGUCAAAUGCAGAUAAAUGCGUGCGAGUGAAGUUACGAGAUCAAAAGAUCUUUUUUCGCGGAGCAAACUAAAGACGGUAUGACAUAAUAAGAUGAAAAAGUAAUAACGAAAUCAUACGGACAAUUCGAGAUCGGAGUCAAACCAUCUUGGCACUUUUAUGCGAAUCCGGUGAAUCUUACGCAGGAAUUGUAUCAACGUUCUCGCGCUGAUACCCUUCUUUACUCUUCCCCCUCUCAACUGACUUUGGUGUGUUACUUGACUGCUACGCCGUGGCCAUUCAGCAGCCGUCGUGUUUAGUUUACGGUGGACGCGCGUUGAGUAUCCGCAGUGAAAAGGACACACGCUCGAGUGCGUGGAUACUAGUGUGAUGUCUGACGCGCGCGCUCUUAUUCAUCUCCUUUUUCAGCAGCAGCGGCAACGACGUUUGCGAUCGUGAAAGAAUUUCGAAGAUCCCUUGGUGAUCCCUUCAACACGACGGUGGGUGAGUGUGGAGGGCGACGGGUGGCGACGACGACGGCGGCGGUGGUGGUGGCGGCACAAGGGGGGGAGAUCUUCCGCCCCCUUUGCGAACCAAACGCCGGUAAUGAGUGUUUACACCGCGAGCACGCCGACAGCGAGCACCGCGAUAUCGCCGGUGAUAAGUACAACAUUGACAGCGAUAUCAACGGCAACGACGACGACAACGACAACGACAGCUACGGCGGCUACGUCAACGACGACGGCGGCGGCGGCGGCGGCGGUGGCGGUGGCGGCACCGGUUGCAACGACGACGGCGACGUCGUCCACGGCGACCGCCGCAUCGCCCGAAGCAGCGACUGACUGGAUCGAAUUUUGUGAGAGACACGCCCGCGCCUCGGCCUCCGAUUUUGCUAAAGCGUUUUGCGCCUACGUCAGUCUGAACUUACCGGAGAGCGCUCGCGCUAAUCUCUCGCAUCGUGAUUUCCUCAGGAAGUUUGUCGAAAGCUUUUGCGAGCAUUUUGAGAGCGAAUAUCUGCGCCAAGGCGUAAGAUCACUGUCGUUGCACGAUACUAGGAGUAUAACAUCCAAUGAAAGAGAUAUAAAUCUUACAAACCAAAACGCUACCAAUGCACCAGUCCGUGCGUCAUCACACGAGGAAUUUAGUGAUUACUCUGAACAUGAAGGAGAGGCGGUAUCGCCAAAACCUGCUCAUAAACCUUUCUUCCGCAGAUUAUCUUUUAAGGGACUCAAAAAAGGCAAAGGUUUCUUCCACAAGCAACAGAGUGAUGAGGUCGAAUUAUCUCACAGUGAACAUCGUAAAGAUAAACACUCCAAGGCUAAAUUAUCGAAAAUCGUUGUGGAAUGUAGAAAAGAGGGAAUCGUAAAUUCCUUGAUGGGGGAAAAUAUAGACGGUACGCAGCAAAAAUGGGAAAAAUCGCGAUUAGCCCUGAUAAAAGCCAUUGGUGGAUACAUGUUGGAGUUUUAUUCUCCACCGAAAGCUGUAAAACCACGAAGUGGUGUCUUUUGCUCGGCGAUAACGGAAGCAAGGGAAACCACGGCACUCGAAAUGCCGGAUCACGAGAAUACAUUCGUUCUAAAGACCCAAAACAUGGAAUUUGUCAUAGAGGCACACGAUUCGAACGAUAUGAAGUCGUGGCUGGCAACGAUUAGAUACUGCAUGCGAACGGUACAACAAAGUUCCAGCGUUCCUGGUUCUGGGUUAGGUGAUUCUUUAGGGGAUUCUUUGGGCCACGGUUCAUUGACUAUCGGAUCAGAUAGUGAUCGAUUACGAGCCAAUUCGGCGAGUAAGACUUUCCGAUCUGCUAGUCAUGAACAUGGCGAUGAGUCGCAGGUCAAUCCACCAGAAUUACCUCCGAGACUCCGUAUGCGCAGCAGCAGUAAUUUAGAAUUAUGUUCCUCUCAACAAGAAAUCGAGCAAAUUCCUACUAAUGAAGGCGAGCUGGAUUUAUCGAGUAGUUUACGAGAAUACCCAUGGUUUCAUGGUACCCUUCCUCGCUCAGAUGCCGCGCAGCUUGUGUUACAUAGCGCAGCUAAUGGUCAUGGUGUGUUCCUGGUUCGGCAAAGUGAAACCAGAAAAGGAGAAUUUGUGUUAACUUUUAAUUUCCAAGGAAGAGCAAAACACUUACGGAUGACGCUGAACGAUCAGGGUCACUGCAGAGUCCAACACUUAUGUUUUCCUGCGAUAUAUGAUAUGCUUGAACACUUUCGUCAAAAUGCGAUACCUCUCGAGUCUGGUGGGACUGCGGAUGUUACUUUAACAGAGUACGUAGUGGCGACGAACCAUGCAUCGCGAUCAGGGCAUCAUAAUGUGGCGAGUGCUACGAAUGUGCAACAGUCGCAAGAGAGGAGACCUCCAGCAAUCUUGGAGCCCAGAGAAGUACGCACGUAUGGUGGUUCUAUAAGAACGCGUGUGGAAUCAUUGGAGAGACUAGUGCAACAAAGCAUUAUUGCGGAGCAACAGGCCACUGGCAGAGCGGUUCAGAACACUUACAGUUUUCUCUGACGUUGGAUGCACGCUAAUCCACUAUCAGGCUACAAUCCAGUUAAUCCGUCGGACUGAACACGAACAAUAUAAUGAAAUAACUAUCUUCCAAUCAUUGACUCUUGCGUUCAGCAUUCGACAUUAUAUUUUUAUGAUUUAAUAGCAACAUGUUUGCAUUGCAUUUACAUCGAAUAAUAAGAAAUAGAAUAGACUGCCGUACAAAACGAGCUUCAGUUAGCAAUAAUUAUUUCAUAAUAUUGUGCACAAAUUAUCCCAUUUCCUGAUAAUGUCGCAGCAUACUAUGGAGUUUCUUUUGCACAUGUAUCUACGACUCAUCCUUUUAUCAAGAUCAAAUCGAUGGCCUCCUCCUCUUUUCUUAUCAAGAGAACGGAUAUAUUUUAAUGAGAAAAUCUCUCCCCCAUUUCGCUUCUAAUUUAUGGUGUAUGUACUUAUAUAAUGUUACAUGCAUACGACGUAUAUGCAAAUGGGGAAAUGGUAAUUUCCGGAAAUCACGAAUAUGCCAUAUAUAGCAAUCCCCAUUCGCGUCCUUGAAUCAUCUUGAAGACUUAACAAGUACGCUAAAGUACUAAAAUUUAAUAUUAGUAAGACCGCUUCGUUACAAUUACAAUUUGUUAUAUAAAAUUGCAUUUCAGCCACACUGUUGCUAGUCCCUGAUGCUUUGUAGAACGUCAAAUGUAAUAGACAUGUUUUUUGAUCCUCGAUAAGCAUGAAAUACGCCGCGAUAUGAAUUAUCCGUACUCGUCAGUGUGUAAAUUUCCUAUUUGUCGGAUAAAUAAAAAGAAUCGAGAGAAAGAAGACAACUGUAUUAUGAUCCUGCAUAAGUCGAAGGGCAAAGUAUUCUGGUACAGUAAGUAUAAUUCUAAAUAUACUCCUGCAAAAAAUAGCAGCACUGCAUUCGAUAAGUGUAUCGAGAGGUAUAUUAACGAACUAAGUGUAAUGAUUAAGGACUAUUAUAUUAAUAUUAUAGAGCAAUAUGAUUGACUGUAAAUUAGAUUAUAGAUAAAUGUAUGAAUGAGUGAUACGUGUAGAGAGCAAUGAUCGACAAAAUAUCCGAUUUGUAGAAUGUGCAAAUCAAGUAUUCUCAGUACGAGCUUAAUGCUGUGAUAAAAUCUUUCAUUUGCACAGACAUUUAAUAAUUACCAGUUUAUGUUCUUGAAAUCAUCAAAUAUAAAAUGCAGGAAAAGUACAGAAUUUAUCACGUGUGUAUAUUUUACUCGCUUUCUGCCAUCGAAAAUUAUAUAAAUGGAACUUCCAUCAUAAUAUACUAAAAAAAAAGAAAACUAUCAUAGGAACGUUAUAGCCAAUCUAAAAAAUCUGUAUUGUGAAUUCAUCCUUUAGCCAAAAUAAUAGCAAGAUCAUACUGUAAGUAGAAUGUAAGCUUGUUUUUCAUGUACUCGCAGUUAAAACGACAGUCCUGAGAUAUGCAGAGUCUGACAAUUAAUAAGCAAACAUGAUACUUUUUUACCUUAUGUUAAGAUGCAAAAAUGAAAAUAAAAACUGAAUUUCCUGA